UGUCAAGGGAUGGGAAUCGAACCCAACACCUUCCGCUUACCGGGCAGAUGCCAUGACCACUAGGCUACCCUGGAC
rnacentral:tRNA from 1 species